rnacentral:rRNA from 1 species
ACGCACGCUGGCGGCGUGCUUAACACAUGCCAGUCGAACGGAAAGGCCCUGCUUUUGUGGGGUGCUCGAGUGGCGAACGGGUGAGUAACACGUGAGUAACCUGCCCUUGACUUUGGGAUAACUUCAGGAAACUGGGGCUAAUACCGGAUAGGAGCUCCUGCUGCAUGGUGGGGGUUGGAAAGUUUCGGCGGUUGGGGAUGGACUCGCGGCUUAUCAGCUUGUUGGUGGGGUAGUGGCUUACCAAGGCUUUGACGGGUAGCCGGCCUGAGAGGGUGACCGGCCACAUUGGGACUGAGAUGCGGCCCAGACUCCUACGGGAGGCAGCAGUGGGGAAUAUUGCACAAUGGGCGGAAGCCUGAUGCAGCAACGCCGCGUGCGGGAUGACGGCCUUCGGGUUGUAAACCGCUUUCGCCUGUGACGAAGCGUGAGUGACGGUAAUGGGUAAAGAAGCACCGGCUAACUACGUG